UACGUAGGGUGCUAGCGUUGUUCGGAAUCAUUGGGCGUAAAGCGCGUGCAGGCUGUUAGAUAAGUCAGAUGUGAAAUCCCUGGGCUCAACCGAGGAAGUGCAUUUGAAACUAUCUAGCUAGAAGAUGGUAGAGGAAGGUGGAAUUCCAAGUGUAGAGGUGAAAUUCGUAGAUAUUCGGAAGAACACCAGUGGCGAAGGCGGCUCACUGGCCCGGUACUGACGCUGAGGUGCGAAAGCGUGGGGAGCAAACAGG
rnacentral:rRNA from 1 species